UACAGAGGUGGCAAGCGUUGUUCGGAAUUACUGGGCGUAAAGGGCGCGUAGGCGGUCUUUUAAGUCUUGUGUGAAAUCCCUCGGCUCAACUGAGGAACUGCACGGGAUACUGGAAGACUUGAGUUCGGGAGAGGGAAGCGGAAUUCCGGGUGUAGCGGUGAAAUGCGUAGAUAUCCGGAGGAACACCGGUGGCGAAUGCGGCUUCCUGGACCGAUUACUGACGCUGAGGCGCGAAAGCUAGGGGAGCAAACGGG
rnacentral:rRNA from 1 species